ACGUGGCUGGCUCAGUCAGAAGAGCAUGAGACUCUUGAUCUUGGGGUUGUGAGUUCGAGCCCCAUGUUGGGUG
rnacentral:tRNA from 1 species